rnacentral:rRNA from 1 species
AGUGAACGCUGGCGGUAGGCUUAACACAUGCAAGUCGAACGGCAGCACAGUAAGAGCUUGCUCUUAUCGGUUGCCAGUCGCGGACGGGUGAGGAAUACAUCGUAAUCUACUUUUUCGUGGGGGAUCACGUAGGGAAACUUACGCUAAUACCGCAUAUGACCUUCGGUUGAAAGCAGGGGAUCUUCGGACCUUGCGCGAUUGAAUGAGCCGAUGUCGGACUAGCUAGUUGGCGGGGUAAAGGCCCACCAAGGCGACGAUCCGUAGCUGGUCUGAGAGGAUGAUCAGCCACACUGGAACUGAGACACGGUCCAGACUCCUACGGGAGGCAGCAGUGGGGAAUAUUGGACAAUGGGCGCAAGCCUGAUCCAGCCAUACCGCGUGGGUGAAGAAGGCCUUCGGGUUGUAAAGCCCUUUUGUUGGGAAAGAAAAGCAGCAGGUUAAUACCCCGCUGUUCUGACGGUACCCAAAGAAUAAGCACCGGCUAACUUCGUG